UGGGGAAUCUUGCGCAAUGCGCGAAAGCGUGACGCAGCAACGCCGCGUGGGGGAAGAAGGCCUUCGGGUUGUAAACCCCUUUCAGGAGGGACGAAGGUUGGGCGGUUAAUAGCCGACCUGACUGACGGUACCUCCAGAAGAAGCCCCGGCUAACUACGUGCCAGCAGCCGCGGUAAUACGUAGGGGGCAAGCGUUGUCCGGAAGCAUUGGGCGUAAAGAGCGUGUAGGCGGUUCGGUAAGUCGGCUGUGAAAGUCAAGGGCUCAACCCUGAGAUGCCGGUCGAUACUGCCGGACUAGAGUUCGGAAGAGGGGAGUGGGAUUCCCGGUGUAGCGGUGAAAUGCGCAGAUAUCGGGAGGAACACCUAUGGCGAAGGCAGCUCGCUGAGACGUUACAGACGCUGAGACGCGAAAGCGUGGGGAGCAAACAGG
rnacentral:rRNA from 1 species